rnacentral:rRNA from 1 species
CUGAAAUCAGAAUGGGACUACCC